AGAGAUUGGGGAGUGCUCGAAAGAGAACCAGUACACAGGUGCUGCAUGGCUGUCGUCAGCUCGUGUCGUGAGAUGUUGGGUUAAGUCCCGCAACGAGCGCAACCCUUGUCAUUAGUUGCUACGAAAGGGCACUCUAAUGAGACUGCCGGUGACAAACCGGAGGAAGGUGGGGAUGACGUCAAGUCCUCAUGGCCCUUAUGGGUAGGGCUUCACACGUCAUACAAUGGUACAUACAGAGGGCCGCCAACCCGCGAG
rnacentral:rRNA from 1 species